AACGAACGCUGGCGGCAGGCCUAACACAUGCAAGUCGAGCGCCCCGCAAGGGGAGCGGCGGACGGGUGAGUAACGCGUGGGAAUAUGCCCUUUGCUACGAAAUAGUCUCGGGAAACUGGGGGUAAUACCGUAUACGCCCUUUGGGGGAAAGAUUUAUCGGCGAAGGAUUAGCCCGCGUUGGAUUAGGUAGUUGGUGGGGUAAUGGCCUACCAAGCCGACGAUCCAUAGCUGGUUUGAGAGGAUGAUCAGCCACACUGGGACUGAGACACGGCCCAGACUCCUACGGGAGGCAGCAGUGGGGAAUCUUAGACAAUGGGGGCAACCCUGAUCUAGCCAUGCCGCGUGAGUGAUGAAGGCCUUAGGGUUGUAAAGCUCUUUCAGCUGGGAAGAUAAUGACGGUACCAGCAGAAGAAGCCCCGGCUAACUCCGUG
rnacentral:rRNA from 1 species